GGCUUUGUAGUGUAGCGGUUAUCACUUGAGAUUCUGAUUUGGUCACCUGUUGGCUGAUGUUCUCAAAACCCAGGUUCGAGUCCUGGCAAGGCCU